rnacentral:rRNA from 1 species
AGAGUUUGAUCCUGGCUCAGAUUGAACGCUGGCGGCAGGCCUAACACAUGCAAGUCGAACGGUAACAGGAAGCAGCUUGCUGCUUUGCUGACGAGUGGCGGACGGGUGAGUAAUGUCUGGGAAACUGCCUGAUGGAGGGGGAUAACUACUGGAAACGGUAGCUAAUACCGCAUAACGUCGCAAGACCAAAGAGGGGGACCUUCGGGCCUCUUGCCAUCGGAUGUGCCCAGAUGGGAUUAGCUAGUAGGUGGGGUAACGGCUCACCUAGGCGACGAUCCCUAGCUGGUCUGAGAGGAUGACCAUGCACACUGGAACUGAGACACGGUCCAGACUCCUACGGGAGGCAGCAGUGGGGAAUAUUGCACAAUGGGCGCAAGCCUGAUGCAGCCAUGCCGCGUGUAUGAAGAAGGCCUUCGGGUUGUAAAGUACUUUCAGCGGGGAGGAAGGGAGUAAAGUUAAUACCUUUGCUCAUUGACGUUACCCGCAGAAGAAGCACCGGCUAACUCCGU